UACGUAGGGGGCUAGCGUUGUCCGGAAUCAUUGGGCGUAAAGCGCGUGUAGGCGGCCCGGUAAGUCCGCUGUGAAAGUCCAGGGCUCAACCCUGGGAUGCCGGUGGAUACUGUCGGGCUCGAGUCCGGAAGAGGCGAGUGGAAUUCCUGGUGUAGCGGUGAAAUGCGCAGAUAUCAGGAGGAACACCGGUGGCGAAGGCGGAUCUCUGGGCCGAUACUGACGCUGAGGAGCGAAAGCGUGGGGAGCGAACAGG
rnacentral:rRNA from 1 species